UACGGAGGAUGCGAGCGUUAUCCGGAUUUACUGGGUGUAAAGGGAGCGUAGACGGUGAAGCAAGUCUGAAGUGAAAGGCGGGGGCUCAACCCCCGGACUGCUUUGGAAACUGUUUGACUGGAGUGCAGGAGAGGUAAGUGGAAUUCCUAGUGUAGCGGUGAAAUGCGUAGAUAUAUGGAAGAACACCAGUGGCGAAGGCGACUUACUGGACUGUAACUGACGCUGAGGCAUGAGAGCAUGGGGAGCAAACAGG
rnacentral:rRNA from 1 species